CCUACGGGUGGCAGCAGUGGGGAAUAUUGCACAAUGGGGGAAACCCUGAUGCAGCGACGCCGCGUGAGUGAAGAAGUAUUUCGGUACGUAAAGCUCUAUCAGCAGGGAAGAAAAUGACGGUACCUGACUAAGAAGCCCCGGCUAACUACGUGCCAGCAGCCGCGGUAAUACGUAGGGGGCAAGCGUUAUCCGGAUUUACUGGGUGUAAAGGGAGCGUAGACGGCAGCGCAAGUCUGGAGUGAAAUCCCAUGGCUUAACCAUGGAACUGCUUUGGAAACUGUGCAGCUAGAAUGUGGUAGAGGUAAAGGGAAUUCCUGGUGUAGCGGUGAAAUGCGUAGAUAUCAGGAGGAACAUCGGUGGCGAAAGCGCUUUACUGGACCAUUAUUGACGCUGAGGAACGAAAGCCAGGGGAGCAAAUGGGAUUAGAUACCCGAGUAGUC
rnacentral:rRNA from 1 species